UUUUAAAUAAGAUAGCUUUGUGGGUGAUCCAACAACAAGCUAAGGCUCAGAGUGCUACGAGAAGGAGUAUCAUAUCUGCAGUGACUUCCUUCAACAACUGGGCAGCAUAAGAGCGGACUUUCUCUCGCAACACCAGUGUUCCUUGCUACUGUGGAUAACAACUCAGAAGACAAUCACAUCAUCAUGUGCUGCUGAACAACAGUGACGUCACUCGCGUGACAGUGUGAUCCUCAAGAUGACAGUGCUUCGAAUUAUGUGUUACACAUCAAAAUAAUAUUCGGAGUUCAUAAAAUUAAUUUGUGCCCAUAAUUUAUAAAAUCAAAUUCCAAAAUAAAUUAGUUCCAGUGCA